AUGACAUGUGUCGACCGCAAGAGGCUGCCAUGUUUCGACCCCGUGUCCAAGGUGCUCGAUGAUGACAAUCUCCUCAUCGAGAUCAUCGUCCGCCUUGGCUUCCCAACCACCCUCGUCCGCGCCUCCCUCGUCUGCAAGCGGUGGUUCCGCCACGCCUCAGACCCCGCCUUCCUCUGCCGAUUCCGCAAACUGCACCCUCCUCGCCCCCUCGGCUUCUACAUCGAGUACAACCACCGCCUGUUCUUCAUGCUGCCUCAGCCCCCGGAGCUCGCCGCCGUCGCUCGCCGUGCGGCAAGCUACAGAUUUGAUGCUUGUCCCAAUGCAUGGAUCAAUGGCUGCCACAAUGGCCGUAUCCUGAUCAGGUUCAAUUAUAAAUCUACCUUUGGGGCUGGACCGUCCUCGUCGACACGGCGAAUACUAUUCGGUGUGGUCUGCUCCCCACUGUGCCCCGAGAGAGUGGUGUCCAUCGUCCGACAGCCCCCUCGUGAACCCAAGAACAGUAGGAGCUUCACCUUCUUCAAACAAGAUGGCCAAGGCUUGUACCACUUCUGGUUCUUACAGGACCAGGAAAAAAUUGUGGCACGCCUUUAUAUAUAUGUUUAA
rnacentral:rRNA from 1 species